rnacentral:rRNA from 1 species
GCCGCAGGGGGCUAGCGUUGUUCGGAAUUACUGGGCGUAACGCGCGUGUAGGCGGUUGUUCAAGUCAGGUGUGAAAGCCUUGAGCUCAACUCAAGAAAUGCACUUGAUACUGGAUGACUAGAGGACCGGAGAGGAUAGUGGAAUUCCCAGUGUAGUGGUGAAAUACGUAGAGAUUGGGAAGAACACCAGUGGCGAAGGCGGCUAUCUGGACGGUUUCUGACGCUAAGACGCGAAAGCGUGGGGAGCAAACAGG